AUGAGGUGCCUUGCUCAGUUCCUGGGGCUGCUAAUGCUCUGGAUCCCUGGGUCCACUGGAGAUAUUGAGAUGAUCCAGACACCACUCUCUCUGCUCAUUACCUCUGGAGAGCCAGCCUCCAUCUCUUGCAGGUCGAAUCAGAGCCUCCUAAAUAGUGAUGGAAAUACCUACUUGAAUUGGCUUGUACACAAGCCAGGCCAGUCUCCACAGCGCCUGAUUUAUAAGAUUUCCAACCGUGACUCUGGGAUCCCAGACAAAUUCAGUGGCAGCGGGUCAGGGACAGAUUUCACACUCAAAAUCAGUAGCGUGGAGGUUGAGGAUGUUGGAGUUUAUUACUGUAUGCAGGGCACUUUGUGGUGGACGUUCGGCCAAGGGACCAAGGUGGAAAUCAAACGGACUGCGGCUAAGCCAACUGUCUCCAUCUUCCAACCAUCUCCUGAGGAACUGAAGUCUGGAAGUGCCUCACUUGUGUGCUUUGUGAAUAACUUCUACCCCAAAGAAAUUGAUAUCAAGUGGAAGGUAGAUGGCGUUGAAAAGAAAGAUGGCUUCCUAAAUAGUUUCACAGAUCAGGACACCAAGGACAGCACCUACAGCCUCAGCAGCAUCCUGUCACUGACCCAGGGAGAGUACGACAGUCAUAACAUCUUUGUCUGUGAGGUCAGCCAUGAGAGCCUAACUUCGCCCAUUGUCAAGAGUGUCAGUAAGAAUGAGUGUUAGAGCCAGAGGCCUGCCAGGCACCAGCACCUGCUCCUCAGGCCAAGCUUUGACCCUCAUCAAACCUUUUCCCUUUUCCCACAAAGGACCUAUCCCUGUUGCAUCCCUGAAUCCCUUUCCCCACCUCAUCCCCUUCCCUGCCCUGGCUUUAAUCCUGCUAAUAUUUGAAGAGAACAAUGAAUAAAGUGAAUC